UGAAUUGCAAUAAGUAAUGUGAAUUGCGCUCUCUAGUAAUCCGGAAAGUAUGUCUGUUUGAAGGAUAGUAAAAAACAUUUAUCAUGAUCCUUUUUUAUAUAAUAUCAGAUCGCGGAAUUGGAUUCUUUUUCUUUGAUGGUCUUAAAUUUAUGUUGUGGCUAAUUAUAAAUUGAACUAAAAAGUGCAAUAUAUCUCAAAUUUAGUGACGUUUAUAGGCUAAAUAUGAUUUUUUUGAUGUUAGUAGUGAUGCCAAAAAUCAUAAACAAUUUUUAACAUUGACCUCAAAUCAGAUAAAAGUACCCGCUGAAAUUAA
rnacentral:misc_RNA from 1 species